UGCCUUCAGCAGUAGCUCUAGGUACCAGUUGGGAUGACUUCUGACGCGG
rnacentral:tRNA from 1 species